rnacentral:rRNA from 1 species
AGAGUUUGAUCAUGGCUCAGGAUGAACGCUGGCGGUAUGCCUAACACAUGCAAGUCGUACGAGAGUUUUUAACUCUAGUGGCGGACGGGUGAGUAACACGUGAGAAUUUGCCUUUAGGAGGGGGAUAACAAUUGGAAACGAAUGCUAAUACCCCAUAUGCUUCCGAGUGAAAUGGAUUUAUAUUUAUCCGCCUAAAGAGAAGCUCGCGGCUGAUUAGCUUGUUGGUAAGGUAAGAGCUUACCAAGGCGACGAUCAGUAUCUGGUUUGAGAGGACGAUCAGACACACUGGAACUGAGACACGGUCCAGACUCCUACGGGAGGCAGCAGUGGGGAAUUUUCCGCAAUGGGCGAAAGCCUGACGGAGCAAUACCGCGUGAGGGAAGACUGCCUAUGGGUUGUAAACCUCUUUUUUCAGGGAGGAAUCAAUGACGUGUACCUGAAGAAUAAGCAUCGGCUAACUCCGUGCCAGCAGCCGCGGUAAGACGGAGGAUGCAAGUGUUAUCCGGAAUCACUGGGCGUAAAGCGUCUGUAGGUGGUUUAAUAAGUCAACUGUUAAAUCUUGAGGCUCAACUUCAAAAUCGCAGUCGAAACUAUUAGACUAGAGUAUAGUAGAGGUAAAGGGAAUUUCCAGUGGAGCGGUGAAAUGCGUAGAUAUUGGAAAGAACACCGAUGGCGAAAGCACUUUACUGGGCUAUUACUAACACUCAGAGACGAAAGCUAGGGUAGCAAAUGGGAUUAGAUACCCCAGUAGUCCUAGCCGUAAACAAUGGAUACUAGAUGUUGAACAGAUCGACCUGUGCAGUAUCAAAGCUAACGCGUUAAGUAUCCCGCCUGGGAAGUAUGCUCGCAAGAGUGAAACUCAAAGGAAUUGACGG